rnacentral:rRNA from 1 species
UAGGGAAUCUUCGGCAAUGGACGGAAGUCUGACCGAGCAACGCCGCGUGAGUGAAGAAGGUUUUCGGAUCGUAAAGCUCUGUUGUUAGAGAAGAACGUUGGUAGGAGUGGAAAAUCUACCAAGUGACGGUAACUAACCAGAAAGGGACGGCUAACUACGUGCCAGCAGCCGCGGUAAUACGUAGGUCCCGAGCGUUGUCCGGAAUUAUUGGGCGUAAAGCGAGCGCAGGCGGUUCUUUAAAUCUGAAGUUAAAGGCAGUGGCUUAACCAUUGUACGCUUUGGAAACUGGAGGACUUGAGUGCAGAAGGGGAGAGUGGAAUUCCAUGUGUAGCGGUGAAUUGCGUAGAUAUAUGGAGGAACACCGGUGGCGAAAGCGGCUCUCUGGUCUGUAACUGACGCUGAUGCUCGAAAGCGUGGGGAUCAAACAGG